GUUGGCUCUGGAUGGAUGAGGUCACGCAAGGCGCCGAUUGGGUGAGAACCCUAGCAUCCACUCCCCGUCGCCGUUCCUCUCAUGCCGCCUACCUCACCGCUGCUGCUCUCCUCGCCGAGCUCGCUCGCCGCCGCCGCAUCCCAUCCCGGUCGCGCUCCCGCCACCAUCCCGGUCACCACUAUCACGGGGCAGUACGAGGUCUUUGUGUUAGUUUUGUAAGCCAUGGUGUAUUAGAAGCAAACACAUGCUAAGUGGGCUUCAUUCUGCAACUCUGAAAUUCUGUACAAUCAUCGAUGUGCAUUGUUCUCUCCAGCAGAUUAGUAGUCUCCUAAUUAAUAACCCCACCACGAUUAUGAGCAUAACUUUAUUCAGCUUUUCUAUGUGUUGUGGUAGAUCUACUAUACGUGAUAGAUAACAGCAGUAGGUUAAUUUGAUGGGCAUCAUAUGGACAUGUUCUAAAUUAUACGGUUACAUUCGUCUUCACUUUUCUGUUGUUACUGGUAGCAUUUAUCUACUAUCCUGCUACUGCACUAUUUUACAAAGGAAAAUUUAUUCGAUCAUUCAUUUUCUUGAGAUUUACUUCAUAUAUUGAUGUAGUUUGUUUUGAUUUCAGCAAUGCAGAAUAAUGUUUAUGGGAAGAUCGGACAAGAAGAGGUUGAACUCCGAUUCCACCCUAUGUUGUUUGCUGCUUAAAAUUAGUCGACUGUGUGUUGUCUUGGUCAUUAUCAGUAUUUAUGUCCAUGAGGUUUGGAGUAGGCCCAGAAUGCUUUCGUAAUUCAGUUCAGAUUUCCAUGUGCUGUAAUGACUAUUCAGUUGGAUUGGCUUAGAACUACAAAGGUUGAGGAUAAGCCAUUCAUCCUAUAGGUUGUAGGUGUAAUUGAUCAAACAAUUGAUCACAUUGUAGUCAAGAUUGUAGAGCUUAAAUGGUUCUUUCUUUCUAUAUGUUGUUGAUUCUCUUGGCCUUGAUUCUGAAUUGUUGUUGCUCUUUGCAAAUUGUAGGUAUGCAUUCCUACCAGGUUUGUUGUUUGGAAAUGCCAGUCACAUCAUUUCUGAAUUCGGAAUUGUGAAGGGUCCAAUGAAAAUCCAAGCAAGUUGUGGAGUGAUAUUAUUGUUGUUUCUUGCAGGAUGGGGAUUGAUAAUUGGAAUAUUGAAUGGGUACAUUCACCGGACAUGAGGGGUUGCCAAUGUUAUGGGCUUGAUUGGUUUGUGAGUUGCACCAGGAUUAUGCUUUGAAGGGGCAAGGAGCGGCGAUCCAAUAUACACCAACGAUGAAGGUAUAUUCGUAUACAAUAUGUAGCAGCACAGUCAUCUCGGGCGCCUCGUGGCAGAGAGAGUGAAAGUGAUGUUUUUAUGAUGGUACGAUGGCCUAGACCUGUGUUAUUUUAUUUAUUAUUAUUAUCAAACUUCUUUAGUUACACUCUUCUUGUACUAAUGGUCUAUAUACGUGCUUUGUACUCUGAAUCCAUCAUGUGCUUUGAAUAUUUAUACAAGCCCCUUUAUGCACAAUUUGGCGAUAGCAUAUGCCCGAGUAGUUUAAUCAGUCGAGUUUCAGGUUACUUAUUCAUUCGAUUUUGAAAAAGCAAUAAUGAUAUAUUCAACUAAAAAUCUGUUCCAAAGAAAAAAAAAUUAUGUACUAAUUUACACUGCAUAAAAUGAGCAUUACUAUUUCUUGAGAAUGAUGUCAGGAUAAUGAAGUUCUGUUUGCAAAGCACUUUCUUCCAUAUGUUUCUUUAUUUGCUUACUGUACUUUCCAACUUUUUGUUUGGAAAAUAGUAUACUUUGAGUUUGUUUUACUGCCUGGAGAAAGAAUGAGAGCCCUUUCUCACAGGGGCGUUCACGUGGAUGACCAAACUGAGUCUUCUUCUUUUUUAUAUCUCCAAAUUCAAAUAUGGUUUGAUUUGAUAGAAUAUCAGUCUAACAUGUUGAGAUUGUGAGUCUACAAAAACAAUUAAAGAUACUAUCAAUUCAUAGCUCCCCUCAUUUUUGUAAAUUAUUCUCACAUGAAAAAUACUGUUUGUUCCUCUCUUUUUUACUGCAAAACGCAAGGAGAAAGGACGAUAUGGUAGUCAAGUUCUUCCUGGAAAUCUUGCCUUGGUUGAUCUUGCGGGUAGGCCUUAGUCUCAGUUUGAUCUUGCCGUUCUGCGUCUCAAUGUUGAUGACUACCAUGAGGCACUGCACAGUUAAGCUCCUCUGGACCACGGUGUGUUGGUUAGAUGUGCUCUCGCAUUGAUGGUCUAGCGAAUGGACGUCUCGACGUGUGUUAGAUGGUGAUGCUUCUUCCUAGGUCCAUCGUCCCUUUUGUCGUGCCGUAUUGCUUGCGAUGCGAUGUUCUGUUACACCGACCCCAGAAAACUUUAAUGUGGUGCUUGUGAAAGACCAACCGCUGUUGAUAUUAUGAUGGCAUUCUAUUUUGUGUGGUGUUUGUUUAGCUCUUGGUUGCUAACGAUGUAUUAUCAGUGCCAUGAUAUGGUGCUUCUGAUGGAUUAACUACUCCGUGGUUUUAAUGUUGGUUUUCUAAUCCGUUUACUGUGUCGUAUCAUAUGUUUUAUUUCCUGUA